UACAGGGGGUGCAAGCGUUAUUCGGAAUUAUUGGGCGUAAAGAGCGCGUAGGCGGCUCGUUAAGUCUGGUGUGAAAUCCCUGGGCUCAAUCCAGGAAGUGUAUUGGAUACUGACGGGCUGGAGUAUGGGAGAGGUAAGCGGAAUUCCCGGUGUAGAGGUGAAAUUCGUAGAUAUCGGGAGGAACAACAGUGGCGAAGGCGGCUUACUGGACCAUUACUGACGCUGAGGCGCGAAAGCGUGGGGAGCAAACAGG
rnacentral:rRNA from 1 species